rnacentral:lncRNA from 13 species
GUGCUGGUGACCCACUCCUAGCUAACAGAGGCCACAUAUCACUGACAAUGUGGGGACACAUCAUCAUUUUGGGCCAGCCAUAGUCCCAAGGACUUUCAUAAAACUAUUGGGAAAGAUAAACUCUUUUUUUCCUCUGGAAUUGCCCCAAGGAUUAAAAAAACCCUUCAAGAUACUAUUGACCCAAUUUGCUCUUGGGAGUCCUUGCUCAAGAAUUAUAAUCACCUAAAGGAAAGCAGUACUGAGAAGAAAGAGGGCAAAUAGAUGAAGACAAAGUGCUGGGACCUAUGUGUGGAUGAGUUUUUCCUGGAUGAAACUGUCAUUUGAAGAGGAAAGUAAAUGUGAUAGAAUAGGAGAGAAGCAGGGAUAUACUGCAGUUUGUCAGAUGCGGAGACCCAAGGGAGCAUUUUGGAAUGCAAACACAGAAG